rnacentral:lncRNA from 1 species
CAUUUACACGCAUGGAGUACAUGAAAGUAUUUUAUAUAUAUAAACGAAGCACAGUUUUUUUACGUAUAGGAGGACUGAAAAGUUCAGAGUCUAUAACAUGUGGAAAAUAUUUCUCAGGGCUUCCUGAAAUAGAAUGAACGUGAACAAUAUUUUAUUUACUAAAAUUUCAUUUCUUAUUUCUCUAUGAGUGAAAGUAGAAAGGAAAAAAGGAUAGAAAGAAAGAGAUAUAAAAAGAUAACUAAUGAAAGAGUUUAAAAAUAUUCGAUAUACAGCAGGAAUAAACGUGUUUACAAAUGUAUGUUUAUUUCCAGACAAUGGCUCAGCCAAAAUUAAUACAAUAAAUACUAAUCGUAUAAGGAAA